rnacentral:rRNA from 1 species
UACGAAGGUGGCAAGCGUUACUCGGAAUUACUAGGCGUAAAGGGCAGGUAGGUGGUUUGGAAAGUCCGUUGUGAAAGCUCCCGGCUUAACUGGGAGAGGUCAACGGAAACUUCCAGGCUUGAGUAUGGGAGAGGGUACUGGAAUUCCCGGUGUAGCGGUGAAAUGCGCAGAGAUCGGGAGGAACACCGAUGGCGAAAGCAGGUACCUGGACCAUUACUGACACUCAACUGCGAAAGCUAGGGGAGCAAACAGG